GGGGAUGAGUGUAGCUCAGUGGCAGAGCACCUGCUUUGCAUGCAGAAGGUCCCGGGUUCAAUCCCCAGUAGUAUCUCCA